UCCCUGGUGGUCCAGUGGCUAAGACUCUGUGCUUCCAAUGUAGGGGGCCCAGGUUUGAUCCCGGUCAGGGAA
rnacentral:tRNA from 1 species